AGGCCACGGUGUGGACAAGCCCUUAAUAGCUCUUUAUAUCUCUCCCAAGCUUCAAAAAGUGAUUACCCUUUAUUUUGUAUAAAUCGGGUGAUCUGAUUUUGAGGUAC